GCGGGCCCCCCUCGGAGGCGGGUGAGCCCCCAUCUUCAAGCCCAGGUUAAAGACUACAGACUUUGAACUUUCCGCAGGUCUGCAAGGGCAGGCCCCUCGCCCGCAGGCUGGAUCCUAGGUCACCCCCAAGCGCCAGCCGGCCUUGCUGCCAGCACUUGGGCCGCGGGGUGGGGCGCCGGGCGCUUCCCGGGAUCGCAGCCCCUCCCCCGCCCCAGCCGGGCGCGCGUUGGUACGUCCCGGCCCGCCCAGGUGGUAGCGCCCGCGCCGGCCUACCGUAAUUCCCCUACGUCCGGCGCCCCCCGCCGGCGCAGAGCGGACUGAGCCCGCCCCGCGCCUCCGGUGCCCCUCGCUCUGCGGGCCCCGCGGAGCUUUGGCAGCCUAGGCCCAAGCCCCAGCCACUGGAGAGGAGACCCAUGUCCCUAGGUAUGCCACCACGCCGACUGCCAGCAGCUGCACCGCCGGGGGCCCCUCAACCUCUGCGAGGCCUGUGACAGCAAGGUCCACAACGCCAUGCAUUACGAUGGGCACGUCCGCUUCGACCUGCCCCCGCAAGGCUCUGUCCUGGCUCGGAACGUGUCUACCCGGUCAUGCCCCCCACGCACCAGCCCUGCGAUGGACCUGGAGGAGGAGGAGGAGAGCUGUAUGGAUGCCAAAGGGGACCGGAGGAGCACGGGCCUGAAACUCUCCAAGAAAAAAGCCAGGAGGAGACACACAGAUGACCCAAGCAAGGAGUGCUUCACCCUGAAAUUUGACCUGAACGUGGACAUCGAGCCGGAGAUUGUACCGGCCAUGAAGAAGAAGUCGCUGGGGGAGGUGCUGCUGCCGGUAUUUGAAAGGAAGGGCAUUGCCCCGGGCAAAGUGGAUAUCUUCCUGGACCAGUCCAACACACCCUUGUCCCUCACCUUCGAGGCCUACAGGUUCGGGGGACACUACCUUCGGGUCAAAGCCAAGCCAGGGGAUGAGGGGAAGGUGGAGCAGGGGGUGAAGGACUCCAAGUCGCUGAGUCUGCCAAUCCUGCGGCCUACUGGGGCUGGGCCCCCCACCCAGGAGCGCGUGGACCCCCAGAUCCGCCGGGAGAGCCUGGACAUCCUGGCCCCCGGCCGCCGACGAAAGAACAUGUCAGAGUUCCUGGGGGAGGCGAGCAUUCCUGGGCAGGAGCCCCCCACGCCUUCCAGCUGCUCUCUGCCCAGUGGCAGCAGUGGUGGCAGCAGCAGUAGCGGUGGCAGCGACAGCUGGAAGAACCGGGCAGCCAGUCGCUUCAGCGGCUUCUUCAGCUCAGGCCCCAGCACCAGCGCCUUCGGCCGGGAGGUGGACAAGAUGGAGCAGCUGGAGGGCAAGCUGCAUGCCUACGGCCUCUUUGGGCUGCCCCGGCUGCCGCGGAGGCUGCGCUUCGACCAGGACUCAUGGGAGGAGGAAGGCGACGAGGAGGAGGACGAGGACAACGCCUGCCUGCGGCUGGAGGACAGCUGGCGGGAGCUCAUUGACGGGCAUGAGAAGCUGACGCGGCGGCAAUGCCACCAGCAGGAGGCGGUGUGGGAGCUCCUGCACACAGAGGCCUCUUACAUCAAGAAACUGCGGGUGAUCACCAACCUGUUCCUGUGCUGCCUCCUGAACCUGCAAGAAUCUGGGCUGCUGUGUGAGGUGGAGGUGGAGCGUCUGUUCAGCAACAUCCCGGAGAUCGCGCGGCUGCACCGCGGGCUGUGGGGCAGCGUGAUGGCGCCGGUGCUGGAGAAGGCGCGGCGCACGCGGGCGCUGCUGCAGCCUGGGGAUUUCCUCAAAGGCUUUAAGAUGUUCGGCUCCCUCUUCAAGCCCUACAUCCGAUACUGCAUGGAGGAGGAGGGCUGCAUGGAGUACAUGCGCGGCCUCCUGCGCGACAACGACCUCUUUCGGGCCUACGUCACGUGGGCGGAGAAGCACCAGCAGUGCCAGCGGUUGAAGCUGAGCGACAUGCUGGCCAAGCCCCACCAGCGGCUCACCAAGUACCCGCUGCUACUCAAGUCGGUGCUGAGGAAGACAGACGAGCCGCGCGCCAAGGAGGCCAUCGUCACCAUGAUCGGCUCGGUGGAGCGCUUCAUCCACCACGUGAACACGUGCAUGCGGCAGCGGCAGGAGCGGCAACGGCUGGCGGCCGUGGUGAGCCGCAUAGAUGCCUACGAGGUGGUGGAGGGCAGCAACGACGAGGUGGACAAGCUCCUGAGGGAAUUUCUCCAUCUGGACCUGACAGCGCCCAUCCCUGGCGCCUCCCCUGAGGAGACACGACAGCUGCUGCUGGAAGGGAGCCUGAGGAUGAAGGAGGGGAAGGACAGCAAGAUGGAUGUGUACUGCUUCCUCUUCACGGACCUGCUCUUGGUGACGAAGGCAGUGAAGAAGGCUGAGAGGACCAAGGUCAUCAGGCCACCGCUGCUGGUGGACAGGAUCGUGUGCCGGGAGCUUCGGGACCCUGGCUCCUUCCUCCUCAUCUACCUGAACGAGUUCCACUGCGCUGUGGGGGCCUACACGUUCCAGGCCAGCGGCCAGGCUUUGUGCCGUGGCUGGGUGGAUGCCAUCUACAAUGCCCAGAACCAGCUGCAGCAGCUGCGCAUGCAGGAGCAGCCAGGCGGCCAGCAGCACCUGCAGAGCCUGGAAGAGGAGGAGGAUGAGCAGGAGGAGGAGGAGGAAGAGGAGGAAGAGGAAGGAGGGGACAGUAGCACUUCGGCGGCCAGUUCCCCCACCAUCCUGCGCAAAAGCAGCAACAGCCUUAACUCUCAGCACUGCGCCUCGGACGGCUCCACGGAGACCCUGGCCAUGGUGGUGGUGGAGCCCGGGGAGAUGCUGUCGUCCCCCGAAUUCGAGGGUGGCCCCUUCAGCUCCCAAUCAGACGAGACCUCACUCAGCACCACCGCCUCGUCCGUCACGCCCACCUGCGAGCUGCUGCCCCUGUGUCCGGCGGACGGCCGCUCCUGCUCCAUGGACUCCGCCUAUGGCACCCUCUCCCCCACCUCCCUGCAAGACUUUGUGGCCCCGGCCCCCGUGGCGGAGCCGGCCCCCCGGCCCCCAGAAUCACCCCAGGCGCCUUCGCCCCCACCCUCGCCCCGCCUCCGCCGCCGCACCCCCGUCCAGCUGCUGCCCUGUCUGCCCCACCUGCUCAAGUCCAAAUCCGAGGCCAGCCUCCUCCAGCUGCUGUCAGGGGCCACUACCCGGGGAGCGCCCCCAGCCCCCAGCCGCAGCCUGUCGGAACUCUGCUUGGCUGCCACCGUCCCUGGCGCCAGGCCUCGGGGAUCCCCUCAGGAGGCUGGGCCCAGCUGGGACUGCCGGGGGACACCGGGCCCUGGUAGUGGCCCCGGGCUGUCAGAGCUGGAGGGUGGAGCCAGCUGCCCAGGUGGGGAGCCAGAAGGACCCCCCAGGAGGAGCAGAGAGCUGCCCUUGGAGGCCUUGCCCCAGGUCCAGCCUGAGCCCCCGCCGGGGAUCUCGGCCCAGCACAGGAAGCUGACGUUGGCCCAGCUCUACCGGAUCAGGACCACUCUGCUGCUCAACUCCACCCUCACUGCCUCGGAGGUCUGAGCAGAGGGAGGCCCCCAGGGGUGCCACUGACCAAGGGACAGCAGACAACAUGCCUCCUGGAGAGGGCCGGGCAGGACCCCUGCCACCGCCCUCAGGCCCCAGUGUGCACUUUGCCAGGCUGGAUGGAAGUGGAGGAGGGCUCAGCAGAGGCCCGGGCUGCAGGCCCCUUACCAUUGCCACUGUCACUAACCUGCCCCCCAGCCUAGACUGGGUCCCUUGCCCAAUACUCCCUGAGGCCGCCAGUGCCAGUCCUCCCGGCUGGGCUCCAGGGCUGGGACCCUGGCAACCCUUCCCACCUCCGCCCUCAUCUGGCCCCAAAGGGGACACUCCCUUGCCCUCAGGCGCCUCGCUCCCACCCCAUCCCUCUGGCCACCCCAGGCUUGGGUUGGGCUCUGUGUAAAGUUGCAUAUUUAUUGAGCUUUUGAUUCUUUUAUAAAGACUUGUAUAUACUCCACUGGAAAGAGUCCUUUGCUUUUGGAAGUCCCCCCUUUCUGGACUCUGGGUGCACUCGCGUGCCUCCCCGGGUUCCUGCCCCCUCCAGGGGCUGGGUGUGGGGAAGGGAUGGCUGGAAGGGGCUGUGGGAAGCAGAAAUGAAUUAACGGGGCAGAGAUCGCCUGACCAGUCCUUUCAGGAUCCACCCCUGUCCCCGGCCACAGCUGUGAGGCCCACCAUUAGAGCUGUGGGGAGGUGCCCUCCCAGAUGAGGUGCCCUAGGGGACCUGGCCCUGAGCCACCCCUGUGAGGUUAGGCCAGGGUGGGCCUCUGCUGAGAGUGCCCUCCAGGACUCCCCCCCCCAGGGCAGGGACUGUGCAGUAUUGGGGGCUGGGGGUCUCUCACCUGCCAACUUCUGGCCCAACCCCUCCCGGGCCAGAAUGGGAGAGCUUUGAAGUUGUAGUCUCAGGGGUGAAGCCAGAACAAGGCAUGGGGACCCGGCUGUCACCCACCUUGUCCACCCGCUGCCUCAGGUGAGCUCAGGUGCAGGGACCUCAGGCUGAGGCCUCACUUCCAGGGACCAAUGGCCCCGCCCUGCCCCCCCCCCCCGCCUUGAGGCGGGCUCUUGGGGUGGGGGGCGGGCCCUGCGGGCACCAGGCUGGGCCCCAACCACAGCGGGCAGGCGGAGCGGGGAACCCCCGGUUGGAGGGCCCAGCGUGGCGCCCAGGGCCAUGGAGCUGCGGCCAGGGCCAUGUGCGGUGGUGGUAGCUGUGGUGAGUGGGGACUUGGGGGCACGACCUGGGGCCUUGCUGGGCCUGGGUCCCUGCAGUGGAGGGAGGGGCCGGGCCAGUCCCCCUUCCGACCUAGUUAGCGGCUCCACUGGGGCGGAGCCCUUCCGCAGAGAGGAAACACCCGCUCAGGGCCCAGGGAGGUGCGGGGGGGGGGGGUCCCCAGGCGGAGAGAGAGCAUGGUCUCCCCACCUUACCUAAAGCAUGGUGGGGUGGGGCUGCCCGAUUCCUGUCCUGGUGGAAGGGAAACAUGUGCUGGGGCUGCCAGGAACUUUCUAGUCAGCCUCUCCCAAGCCUGGUGUGUGCAGGAGAAGGAAGUCAGUCACCUCCGCCCCCAAGGACCCGGCAGGUGGGCUGCCCUGAGGGCAGAAGCUGGGGCCUCUGAGUGGGGGGAGACUGGGUGGAGAGAGGCUCCCAGCCAGGCAGUGCGGCUGGGAACCAGCGGACCCUGUCCCCCAGGCCCUCCUCCUCCUGCUGCCCGGUGCCCGGGGCCAGGGCAGCACUCCCAGCGCCCACUGUGACUGUGUCCCCAACCAGAAGAGGAACGGUCUGGUCUGUUGCAGGGGCUGUCCAGCCGGUCACUACCUGAAGGCGCCCUGCACAAAGCCUUGCGGCGCUGCCACCUGCCUCCCGUGCCCCCAGGGCACCUUCCUGGCCUGGGAGAACCACCACGAGACCCGCUGUGCCCGCUGCCAGGCCUGUGAUGAGCAGGGUGAGGGGCUGCCUCAUGUUCAGUGAGGGACUCUUGAGGACAAGCCCCGGCCAGGGUCUUUCCGACGGAAGAGGCUGGCUUGUCCCACCCUGGGCUGGGAGGGCCCCGUGCCCACCAGGCAGGCCCUCUCCCCAGAUCUUGCCUGGGCUGCCUUUGUGGGCUCUCAUCCUGACGACCACCCUGUCCCUGGUCGCGCCCCAGCCUCUGGUCUGCUCUGUGGCGAUCCCCCCUCUUCUCUCACUUUGGGGGUGGCCUUGUCUCUGGUGUCCCCAUCUCCACUCCCCGGGGUUCCUGUCCUGCCUCUCUGUGGGGGUCUCUGGCUCUGACAGCCUCUGCUCCCUCGGUCUCCCCCGCCCCCCACCUCCAACCAGCCCCCCAGGUGGCCCUGAAGAACUGCUCGGCGGUGGCGGACACCCACUGCGGCUGCAGGCCAGGCUGGUUCAUGGAGUGCGUUGUCAGCCAGUGUCUCCUUGGCUCCCCCUUUCGCUGCCGCCGGUGCACAGACUGUGGGGCCCUGCACCGCCACACCCAGGAACCCUGUUCCAGCAAAGACGCCCACUGUGGGGCCUGCCUGCCUGGCUUCUACGAACAUGGCAACAGCUGCGUGUCCUGUCCCACGUAACUUCCUGGCUGCCCUGGGCUUGGGGAAGGGAGGCUGAGAGCAGAGGGGGACUCGAGGGGCAGGGAGGAGGGGGCUUGGCCCUGCAGUGGGUGGGCCCACUUUAGGCAAACAUUGGAGGGUAAAGAGAAAUCUGCAUUCAGCUGAUGUCAGGUCAAUACGGGGGCGGAUCUUUUUACGACAGAGUUUCCUUUAGUAACGUUCCAGCCCUGUGUUGAGGAUAAGAUGUGUCACUUACAGACAGAGUCACCAUUAACAGAGCCUCAAAACUUGGGCUGAGAGUCAAGAUCAGCCCCUCGUUCUCUGAGGGAUUUCAGGCCAGUUGCUUGACCUCUCCAAUCUGUGGCUUCCCCAUCGGAACCUGGGGGUUUGAGUAGGCUCCAUCCGGGGUGAUGAUUAAGGGGUGAUUAACUUUAUCUACUCAUCUGUUCAGCAAGUGUCUUUUUUUUUUUUUUUUUUUUUUUUUUUGCUUUGUAGGGCUGCACCCAUGGCAUGUGGAGGAGGUACUCAGGCUAGGGCUCUAAUUGGAGCUACAGCUGCUGGCCUAUGCCACAGCCACAGCCAUACCAGCUCCGAGCCGCACCUGCAACCUAAACCACAACUCAUGGCUGUGCCAGAUCCUUAACCCACUGAGGGAGUCCAGGGAUCAAACCUGCAACCUCAUGGUUCCUAGUCGGAUUUGUUUUCCACUGUGCCACGACGGGACCUCCAGCAAGUGUCUAUUGAGCAUCAUUUCCAGACACUGUUCUGGUUGCUGGGGAAACAACAGGGAACAGAGUAGACAAAUCCCGGAGCUGACAUUCCCCCGAUCUAGUCUAGGAGCAGCUCAGGAAUCCGGGUUUGUUGCUCUUGUUCCUGGGAUGCCAGUGACCUUUUGGCAGCUUAGGGUAGAGUGAGGCUCUCGGGGAGAAGGGCCUCCAGGAUGGAGAGGAUGCCAGGUGGUCCUGAGUGUGUACACACUCACCCUCCACCCCAUCCCCUCCCCUUGCAGGAGCACCCUUGGGAGCUGUCCUGAGCCCUGUGUGGCUGUCUGUGGCUGGAGGCACAGUAGGUGGUCUGCUAGAAAAGGGAGUGGGAGAGCUGGCGGGGGCAAGGGGUGGUUGGGGGACAGCUGCCACCCACCACCCACCAGCUGCUCUUUCAGUGUUCUGGGUCCAGGUGCUCCUGGCAGGCCUGGUGGCCCCACUCCUACUUGGCGCCACCCUGACCUACACAUACCGCCGCUGCCAGCCUUGCAAGGCCAUGGUUCCCGGUAGGUGCGCAGGCGAAUACGCACACUCCUGGAGGCCUGGGGUCAGGCUGGGCAGCCCAGAGCCCACUCAGCCCUGAUUCGGAGGGGGAAACUGAGGCAGGAUGUGCUGGGAAGGGGGUGCAGCUGGACUGGCACCGGGGUUCAGGAGCCUUGCUUGGUGCCUGAUUCAACUCUGUCUCUCUCAGCAGGUGAGGCUGGAGUGGAGGCCCUGACCCCCCUACAGGCCACGCAGCUCUCACCCCCAAACAGCACCCACACCCCUCUGGUGGCAGCCGGCAGUAGUGAGAAGGUCUGCACUGUCCAGCUGGUGGGCAGCAGCUGGUCCCCCGGCUCUCUCCAGACCCAGGAGCUGCCCAGCCCGGAAGUGACAUGGCCCUGGGACCAGCUGCCCAGCAGAGCUCUUGGCCCGCCGUCCCCGCCCUCACCAGCGCCCCCCGCAGGCUCGGCGGCCUCCACGCUCCAGCCCGGCCCGCAGCUCUACGACGUGAUGGACGCGGUGCCAGCGAGGCGCUGGAAGGAGUUCGUGCGGACGUUGGGGCUCCGCGAGGCGGAGAUCGAGGCGGUGGAGGUGGAGGUCGGCCGCUUCCGCGACCAACAGUACGAGAUGCUCAAGCGCUGGCGCCAGCAGCAGCCCGCCGGCCUGGCCGCCGUCUACGCGGCCCUGGAACGCAUGGGGCUGGAUGGCUGCGCCGAGGACCUGCGGAGCCGCCUGCAGCGUGGCCCGUGACGCUAGGGCCCACCCACUAGCUCGGGGCUCUGGUAGCCCUUGCAGAAGCCCUAAGUACGGUUACUUAUGCGUGUAGACAUUUAAUGUCACUUAUUAAGCCCCUGGCACGGCCCUGCGUAGCAGCGCCAGCCAGCCUCACCCCUGCGCGCCCCCAGGGUUCCAGCUAAGGCGAGGAAGCAUCAGCGUUGAGGCUCGGGAGGGCGUUGAGAUUGCUCAGCUGUUUCUCCGCCCGAGUUUGGCCAAGGCCUUGGUAUUAAAUCUACGAAGAAAA